rnacentral:rRNA from 1 species
UACAGAGGUCUCAAGCGUUUGUUCGGAUUCAUUGGGCGUAAAGGGUGUGUAGGUGGCGCCGUAAGUCGGGUGUGAAAUUUCGGAGCUUAACUCCGAAACUGCAUUCGAUACUGCGGUGCUUGAGGACUGGAGAGGAGACUGGAAUUCAUGGUGUAGCAGUGAAAUGCGUAGAGAUCAUGAGGAAGACCAGUGGCGAAGGCGGGUCUCUGGACAGUUCCUGACGCUGAGGCACGAAGGUCAGGGGAGCAAACGGGG